UAUUCCCUUUCAUCUCUCACAUAAUUCUUCCCUCUAGUGUGCUGGCGUGUCAUCAUACUUCUAAUUGCCCUUGUGGAUGAAUAAAGUUGUAUUGAAUUGAAUUGAAUUGAAUUGAGAUUCCUUAGUGACCUUUGUGAACUUUCCAGACAGAAGACAUCCUGCGACGCACAUUCCGAGUGGGGAGCUGCCAGUAUAAAUAGGUUGAUGCCCACGAGACCAUAUUCACAUUCAGCAGAAUUUCCGAAGAGAAUUUCUUGAACGUUUGCAGUUGUCCUCCAGACGGUCGAGUUGUCUCAUCAUGUGCCGCCUGCUGAUACUCGUGGCAAUGGUGCUCCUCAUCUCUGGCACCUGCAUGUCUGCUCCACAGCCACUGGAAGGUAGAAGAGGCUUGAUGCCACUUCCAAAUCCACCCGUUUUACGUCAAGGAAUGCUUCCAUCUCAUACACCUAAGGUCCUUGGUGAUGUCCGUAAGAACCCCGGUAUACCCCUCAGUGGUGUCAUCGUAAAGCCAUGGUGAUCCCUACUACAGGAUCAGCAAAUACUACAAAUCCAGCAACAAAUGCUUCCAGCAAGCCUGCUUGUCUCCCAUCUCCAUCCUGCUUGUCUUCACUAUCCUGCUACACGUGACCCGCUGACGUACCCUGUACUCAGUGUCAGUGAACAGAUACAACAGUGAACAUUCAGUAACCGCUGUGACAGCAAAUAUUAUCACAAUGUGGUGACAACACACCUUCACUAACAUGUGGCCAGCAGUAACACACAGCAGUAAGAACGAUGGCCAACAAACAAACAAACAUAAACAAGUGAGAUGCUGCACUUUACAAACAAACAAACAUAAACAAGUGAGAUGCUGCACUUUACAAAAAACAAACA